rnacentral:rRNA from 1 species
CUACGGGAGGCUGCAGUGGGGAAUAUUGCACAAUGGGCGAAAGCCUGAUGCAGCAACGCCGCGUGAGCGAUGAAGGCCUUCGGGUCGUAAAGCUCUGUCCUCAAGGAAGAAACAUGACGGUACUUGAGGAGGAAGCCCCGGCUAACUACGUGCCAGCAGCCGCGGUAAUACGUAGGGGGCAAGCGUUAUCCGGAAUCACUGGGCGUAAAGGGUGCGUAGGCGGUUUUACAAGUCAGGUGUGAAAGGCUAUGGCUCAACCAUAGUAAGCACUUGAAACUGUAUAACUUGAGUGCAGGAGAGGAAAGUGGAAUUCCUAGUGUAGCGGUGAAAUGCGUAGAUAUUAGGAGGAACACCAGUGGCGAAGGCGACUUUCUGGACUGUAACUGACGCUGAGGCACGAAAGCGUGGGGAGCGAACAGGAUUAGAUACCCUGGUAGUC